GACGAACGCUGGUGGCGUGCUUAACACAUGCAAGUCGAACGGGAUUUAGUAAACAGAAGCCUCGGUGGAAGAUUACUAAUGAGAGUGGCGAACGGGUGAGUAACGCGUGAGCAACCUGCCUAUGACAGUGGGAUAGCCUCGGGAAACCGGGAUUAAUACCGCAUAAAAUCGUAGAAACACAUGUUUUAACGGUCAAAGAUUUAUCGGUCAUAGAUGGGCUCGCGUCUGAUUAGCUAGUUGGUGAGAUAACAGCCCACCAAGGCGACGAUCAGUAGCCGGUCGGGAGGGGGGGCCGGCCACAUUGGAUAGGGACCACGGUCAAAACUCCUCGGGGGGGGAGGGGGGGGAGAAUUUGCAAAAUGGGGAAAACCCUGAGGAGGCGACGCCGGGGAAAGAAAGAAGGUAUUCGUAUGUGAAAGUCUUGUCUAAAGGGGAGAAAAUGAAAGACCCAGAGAGAAAAACCCCGGCUAAACCCGGG
rnacentral:rRNA from 1 species